CCUACGGGAGGCAGCAGUGGGGAAUAUUGCACAAUGGGGGAAACCCUGAUGCAGCGACGCCGCGUGAGCGAUGAAGUAUUUCGGUAUGUAAAGCUCUAUCAGCAGGGAAGAAAAUGACGGUACCUGACUAAGAAGCCCCGGCUAACUACGUGCCAGCAGCCGCGGUAAUACGUAGGGGGCAAGCGUUAUCCGGAUUUACUGGGUGUAAAGGGAGCGUAGACGGUCCUGCAAGCCAGGUGUGAAAGCCCGGGGCUCAACCCCGGGACUGCAUUUGGAACUGUACGGCUAGAGUGGAGGAGAGGUAGGCGGAAUUCCUAGUGUAGCGGUGAAAUGCGUAGAUAUUAGGAGGAACACCAGUGGCGAAGGCGGCCUACUGGACGAUGACUGACGUUGAGGCUCGAAAGCGUGGGGAGCAAACAGGAUUAGAUACCCCUGUAGUC
rnacentral:rRNA from 1 species